GGGAGUGGUGACACUCGAGCUCAAGGAUCGCAAGCGGUGGUGCUAGGGCUACAAUGAGGGAGAUGAAGGGGUCGAAUCCUCAGGUGAAACGGAAGGGAUGUAUUACUCCAUUAUUUAUAACCGCAACAUAGCUAAACCGAGGCGAGAUUAACGGGGAAUAUUCUGUUUUUAAAAUCUUGAAGUUAUCGUUUCACAGUUUCCAAUUUUUUCGAAAGAGAUAAGGUUUGUGUUGGUGAACGGUCAUGUUGACUGGUGGUUGACCGUUAUACCCAAACUAGUCGUAUAACAGCUCGGGGGCUGUGUCCCACAUGCCAAUCGGCUAAAAAGUUUUUUCUUUAGGUUUUAAGGUAAAAGAGAUGUGAAAUUACAAGAUUGACCCUCAGCCUGAUUCUUCGAUUCAACCUAAGGCUCAGGGGCUACUCCAUAUGGAGUGCGAUUUGCAUCGCACUUCCAUAUAAAAUUCAAGAUUGAAGAUUCAAGAUCAAGUUAAAUGCGGC
rnacentral:lncRNA from 1 species